GGCGACGUAGCCAAGUGGUAAGGCAAGGCUCUGCAAAAGCCUGAUUCACCGGUUCGAAUCCGGUCGUCGCCUC
rnacentral:tRNA from 1 species